rnacentral:lncRNA from 1 species
UUCCAGUGACCCAUACCCUUGCAAUAGAAGCACUCUGUUUCAGGCUUAGGUCCAGCCUUGGGUUUCUUCGGCGGAUUGGCAACAUGCUUGUCGCUCUUCUUCGAAUUUCCCUUCUUGCCUUUGCCGUUUCUCUUGAAAAUAGUGGUCUUGCUCACCAUCAACACUUGAUGCUCUUUACGGAGUUCAGACUCUGCGACUUUCAGCAUCGCAAACAACUCGCCGGGAGACUUGUUCAUCCCUUGCAUGUUGUAGUUCAACACAAAGCCUUUAUAGCUUGGUGGCAGUGAUUGAAGGAUUCUGUCAGUGAU